GACGAACGCUGGCGGCGUGCCUAAUACAUGCAAGUAGAACGCACAGUUUAUGCCGUAGCUUGCUACACCAUAGACUGUGAGUUGCGAACGGGUGAGUAACGCGUAGGUAACCUGCCUGGUAGCGGGGGAUAACUAUUGGAAACGAUAGCUAAUACCGCAUAAUAUUAAUUAUUGCAUGAUAAUUAAUUGAAAGGUGCAAUUGCACCACUACCAGAUGGACCUGCGUUGUAUUAGCUAGUAGGUGAGGUAACGGCUCACCUAGGCGACGAUACAUAGCCGACCUGAGAGGGUGAUCGGCCACACUGGGACUGAGACACGGCCCAGACUCCUACGGGAGGCAGCAGUAGGGAAUCUUCGGCAAUGGACGAAAGUCUGACCGAGCAACGCCGCGUGAGUGAAGAAGGUUUUCGGAUCGUAAAGCUCUGUUGUAAGAGAAGAACGGGUGUGAGAGUGGAAAGUCCACACUGUGACGGUAUCUUACCAGAAAGGGACGGCUAACUACGUG
rnacentral:rRNA from 1 species